rnacentral:rRNA from 1 species
GGUGAACGCUGGCGGCGUGCCUAAUACAUGCAAGUCGAGCGAACAGAUGAGGAGCUUGCUCCUCUGACGUUAGCGGCGGACGGGUGAGUAACACGUGGAUAACCUACCUAUAAGACUGGGAUAACUUCGGGAAACCGGAGCUAAUACCGGAUAAUAUAUUGAACCGCAUGGUUCAAUAGUGAAAGACGGUUUUGCUGUCACUUAUAGAUGGAUCCGCGCCGCAUUAGCUAGUUGGUAAGGUAACGGCUUACCAGGGCAACGAUGCGUAGCCGACCUGAGAGGGUGAUCGGCCACACUGGAACUGAGACACGGUCCAGACUCCUACGGGAGGCAGCAGUAGGGAAUCUUCCGCAAUGGGCGAAAGCCUGACGGAGCAACGCCGCGUGAGUGAUGAAGGUCUUCGGAUCGUAAAACUCUGUUAUUAGGGAAGAACAAAUGUGUAAGUAACUAUGCACGUCUUGACGGUACCUAAUCAGAAAGCCACGGCUAACUACGUG